GAUGAACGCUGGCGGCGUGCCUAAUACAUGCAAGUCGAGCGAACGGACGAGAAGCUUGCUUCUCUGAUGUUAGCGGCGGACGGGUGAGUAACACGUGGAUAACCUACCUAUAAGACUGGGAUAACUUCGGGAAACCGGAGCUAAUACCGGAUAAUAUUUUGAACCGCAUGGUUCAAAAGUGAAAGACGGUCUUGCUGUCACUUAUAGAUGGAUCCGCGCUGCAUUAGCUAGUUGGUAAGGUAACGGCUUACCAAGGCAACGAUGCAUAGCCGACCUGAGAGGGUGAUCGGCCACACUGGAACUGAGACACGGUCCAGACUCCUACGGGAGGCAGCAGUAGGGAAUCUUCCGCAAUGGGCGAAAGCCUGACGGAGCAACGCCGCGUGAGUGAUGAAGGUCUUCGGAUCGUAAAACUCUGUUAUUAGGGAAGAACAUAUGUGUAAGUAACUGUGCACAUCUUGACGGUACCUAAUCAGAAAGCCACGGCUAACUACGUGCCAGCAGCCGCGGUAAUACGUANGUGGGCAGCGUUAUCCGGAAUUAUUGGGUGUAAAGCGCGCGUAGGCGGUUUUUUAGUCUGAUGUGAAAGCCCACGGCUCAACCGUGGAGGGUCAUUGGAAACUGGAAAACUUGAGUGCAGAAGAGGAAAGUGGAAUUCCAUGUGUAGCGGUGAAAUGCGCAGAGAUAUGGAGGAACACCAGUGGCGAAGGCGACUUUCUGGUCUGUAACUGACGCUGAUGUGCGAAAGCGUGGGGAUCAAACAGGAUUAGAUACCCUGGUAGUCCACGCCGUAAACGAUGAGUGCUAAGUGUUAGGGGGUUUCCGCCCCUUAGUGCUGCAGCUAACGCAUUAAGCACUCCGCCUGGGGAGUACGACCGCAAGGUUGAAACUCAAAGGAAUUGACGGGGACCCGCACAAGCGGUGGAGCACGUGGUUUAAUUCGAAGCAACGCGAAGAACCUUACCAAAUCUUGACAUCCUUUGACAACUCUAGAGAUAGAGCUUUCCCCUUCGGGGGACAAAGUGACAGGUGGUGCAUGGUUGUCGUCAGCUCGUGUCGUGAGAUGUUGGGUUAAGUCCCGCAACGAGCGCAACCCUUAAGCUUAGUUGCCAUCAUUAAGUUGGGCACUCUAAGUUGACUGCCGGUGACAAACCGGAGGAAGGUGGGGAUGACGUCAAAUCAUCAUGCCCCUUAUGAUUUGGGCUACACACGUGCUACAAUGGACAAUACAAAGGGCAGCGAAACCGUGAGGUCAAGCAAAUCCCAUAAAGUUGUUCUCAGUUCGGAUUGUAGUCUGCAACUCGACCACAUGAAGCUGGAAUCGCUAGUAAUCGUAGAUCAGCAUGCUACGGUGAAUACGUUCCCGGGUCU
rnacentral:rRNA from 1 species